rnacentral:rRNA from 1 species
AUUGAACGCUGGCGGCAUGCCUUACACAUGCAAGUCGAACGGUAACAGGUCUUCGGAUGCUGACGAGUGGCGAACGGGUGGGUAAUACAUCGGAACGUGCCUAGUAGUGGGGGAUAACUACUCGAAAGAGUGGCUAAUACCGCAUGAGAUCUACGGAUGAAAGCAGGGGAUCGCAAGACCUUGUGCUACUAGAGCGGCCGAUGGCAGAUUAGGUAGUUGGUGGGAUAAAAGCUUACCAAGCCGACGAUCUGUAGCUGGUCUGAGAGGACGAUCAGCCACACUGGGACUGAGACACGGCCCAGACUCCUACGGGAGGCAGCAGUGGGGAAUUUUGGACAAUGGGCGCAAGCCUGAUCCAGCAAUGCCGCGUGCAGGAUGAAGGCCUUCGGGUUGUAAACUGCUUUUGUACGGAACGAAAAGCCCUGGGUUAAUACCCUGGGGUCAUGACGGUACCGUAAAAAUAAGCACCGGCUAACUACGUGCCAGCAGCCGCCGUAA